GCCUUCGUGGUGUAGUGGUCAGCACGCUCGACGCGUAACCCAGAGGUCCGUGGUUCGAUUCCCGGCGAGGGCA
rnacentral:tRNA from 1 species